rnacentral:rRNA from 1 species
AGAGUUUGAUCAUGGCUCAGGAUGAACGCUAGCGGCAGGCUUAACACAUGCAAGUCGAGGGGCAGCAUGUCCAGCAAUGGAUGAUGGCGACCGGCGUAAGGGUGCGUAACGCGUGAGCAACAUGCCCUAUACAGGAGGAUACUCCGGGGAAACCCGGUCUAAUACUCCAUAGUAUUAUUGAGAGGCAUCUUUUAAUAAUUAAAGCUUCGGUGGUAUAGGAUUGGCUCGCGUGACAUUAGCCAGAUGGUGAGGUAACGGCUCACCAUAGCAACGAUGUCUAGGGGUUUUGAGAGGAAGGCCCCCCACACUGGGACUGAGACACGGCCCAGACUCCUACGGGAGGCAGCAGUGAGGAAUAUUGGACAAUGGAUGGAAAUCUGAUCCAGUCAUGCCGCGUGCAGGAAGACUGCCUUAUGGGUUGUAAACUGCUUUUAUACGGGAGCAAUAAGGGUUACGUGUAGCCUGAUGAGAGUACUGUAUGAAUAAGGAUCGGCUAACUCCGUGCCAGCAGCCGCGGUAAUACGGAGGAUCCGAGCGUUAUCCGGAAUUAUUGGGUUUAAAGGGUGCGUAGGCGGCUAUUUAAGUCAGCGGUGAAAUUUUGCAGCUUAACUGUAACAGUGCCGUUGAAACUGUUUAGCUAGGAUUUGGUUGCAGUGUGCGGAAUGUGUGGUGUAGCGGUGAAAUGCUUAGAUAUCACACAGAACACCAAUAAUCACUAGUGCGGCCGCCUGCAGGUCGACCAUAUGGGAGAGCUCCCAACGCGUG